UGGUGGGUAGUUUGACUGGGGCGGUCUCCUCCUAAAGAGUAACGGAGGAGCACGAAGGUUGGCUAAUCCUGGUCGGACAUCAGGAGGUUAGUGCAAUGGCAUAAGCCAGCUUGACUGCGAGCGUGACGGCGCGAGCAGGUGCGAAAGCAGGUCAUAGUGAUCCGGUGGUUCUGAAUGGAAGGGCCAUCGCUCAACGGAUAAAAGGUACUCCGGGGAUAACAGGCUGAUACCGCCCAAGAGUUCAUAUCGACGGCGGUGUUUGGCACCUCGAUGUCGGCUCAUCACAUCCUGGGGCUGAAGUAGGUCCCAAGGGUAUGGCUGUUCGCCAUUUAAAGUGGUACGCGAGCUGGGUUUAGAACGUCGUGAGACAGUUCGGUCCCUAUCUGCCGUGGGCGCUGGAGAACUGAGGGGGGCUGCUCCUAGUACGAGAGGACCGGAGUGGACGCAUCACUGGUGUUCGGGUUGUCAUGCCAAUGGCACUGCCCGGUAGCUAAAUGCGGAAGAGAUAAGUGCUGAAAGCAUCUAAGCACGAAACUUGCCCCGAGAUGAGUUCUCCCUGAGACUUUAAGUCUCCUGAAGGAACGUUGAAGACGACGACGUUGAUAGGCCGGGUGUGUAAGCGCAGCGAUGCGUUGAGCUAACCGGUACUAAUGAACCGUGAGGCUUAACCUUAC
rnacentral:rRNA from 2 species